rnacentral:rRNA from 1 species
UCAAGUUAUUAAGGGUGCAGGGCGGAUGCCUUGGCACUAGGAGCCGAUGAAGGACGUGAUAAGCUGCGAUAAGCUUCGGGGAGUUGCACGUAAACUUUGAUCCGAAGAUUUCCGAAUGAGGAAACUCACUUAGAGUAAUGUCUAAGUAUCGUUAAGUGAAUACAUAGCUUAGCGAGGGGAACCCGGGGAACUGAAACAUCUAAGUACCCGGAGGAAGAGAAAGAAAUUCGAUUCCGUAAGUAGCGGCGAGCGAACGCGGAACAGGCCAAACCAAUGAAGUUUACUUCGUUGGGGUUGCGGACAUACAACAUGGAUGCAAUAUCGUAAAUGAAGAGAGUUGGAAAGCUCCGCCAUAGAAGGUAAUAGCCCUGUAGUUGAAACGAGAAAGCUACUAGUAUGAUCCAGAGUACCACGGGACACGUGAAACCCUGUGGGAAGCAGGAGGGACCAUCCUCCAAGCCUAAAUACUACCUAGUGACCGAUAGCGCAUAGUACCGUGAGGGAAAGGUGAAAAGAACCCCGGGAGGGGAGUGAAAUAGAACCUGAAACCCUGUACUUACAAACUGUGGAAGCACAUUUCUUGUGUGACCGCGUACUUUUUGUAGAACGGGCCAACGAGUUACGUUAUGCAGCAAGGUUAAGUACUUCAAGUAUGCAGCCGCAGCGAAAGCGAGUUUUAACUGAGCGUUUAGUUGCAUGACGUAGACCCGAAACCGGGUGACCUAUCCAUGAGCAGGUUGAAGCGAAAGUAAAAUUUCGUGGAGGACCGAACCCACGAGCGUUGAAAAGCUCGGGGAUGACUUGUGGAUAGCGGUGAAAUUCCAAUCGAACCCGGAGAUAGCUGGUUCUCCCCGAAAUAGCUUUAGGGCUAGCCUCAGAUUCAGAGAUACGGAGGUAGAGCACUGAAUGUCCUAGGGGGUAUUGCACCUACCGAAGACUAUCAAACUCCGAAUGCCGUCAUCUUUUAUCUGGGAGUCAGACCGUGGGUGAUAAGAUUCACGGUCGAGAGGGCAACAGCCCAGACCGUCGGCUAAGGUCCCCAAAUGUAGGUUAAGUGGUAAAGGAUGUGGGAUUGCACAGACAACCAGGAUGUUGGCUUAGAAGCAGCCACUCAUUCAAAGAGUGCGUAAUAGCUCACUGGUCGAGUGAUCCUGCGCCGAAGAUUUCCGGGGCUAAAACCUACUACCGAAGCCACGGCAUCAUUUAUGAUGGGUAGGGGAGCUUUCUUUACUGGGCAGAAGCAUGACCGUAAGGACAUGUGGACUGUAAAGAAGUGAGAAUGUUGGCAUGAGUAGCGAGAUGUGGGUGAGAAUCCCACAGGCCGUAAACCCAAGGUUUCCAGGGGAAGGUUCGUCCUCCCUGGGUUAGUCGGGACCUAAGCCGAGGCCGAAAGGCGUAGGUGAUGGACAACAGGUUGAAAUUCCUGUACCGCCAAUAAGCGUUUGAGAAAUGGGAUGACACAGUAGGACAGGAUGAGCGUGCUGUUGGUUAUGCACGUCCAAGCACUGAGGCAGUAUCCGGAGGCAAAUCCACGGAUAUAAUGCUGGGGUGUGACGGGGAGCGAAAUUUAGUAGCGAAGCAUCUGCAUUCACACUGUCGAGAAAAGUCUCUAUCGAGUUUAAAGGCGCCCGUACCGCAAACCGACACAGGUGGGUGAGGAGAGUAUCCUAAGGCCAGCGAGAGAACUGUUGUUAAGGAACUCGGCAAAAUGACCCCGUAACUUAGGGAUAAGGGGUGCCAUCGAAAGAUGGCCGCAGAGAAUAGGCCCAAGCGACUGUUUACCAAAAACAUAGGUUUCUGCUAAGUCGCAAGACGAUGUAUAGGAGCUGACGCCUGCCCGGUGCUGGAAGGUUAAGGGGAUCUGUUAGAGCAAUCGAAGCAGUGAACUUAAGCCCCAGUAAACGGCGGCCGUAACUAUAACGGUCCUAAGGUAGCGAAAUUCCUUGUCGGGUAAGUUCCGACCC